GUGCCCCGUCGCGACUGGCGCAACGGGGUGGGUCACCACCGGGGAGCGACGAAGCAGCUGGACCACGGGGUCGGACGCCUGGGCCCUCGGU
rfam:Cellulomonas gilvus ATCC 13127 chromosome, complete genome.